GUAAGGCAGAUGAUCGCGGCUGCAAAGACGAAAGGUUGCAGGUGAGGAAAGUCCGGGCUUCGCAGGGCAGGAUGCCGGAUAACGUCCGGUGGAGGCGACUCUAAGGAUAGUGCAACAGAAAUAUACCGCUGGGAGCGAUCCCGGUAAGGGUGGAAGGGCAGUGUAAGAGACUACCGCCGUGUUGGUAACAACGCGGGCAUAUGUAAACCCCAUCCGAAGCAAGACCGUAUGGAAACGAAUGGCGGCCCGUCAAUGUUUCAGGUAGGUCGCUUGAUCCUAUCGGCAACGAUAGGGCUAGACAGAUGAUCAUCGAAUACAUAACCCGGCUUACAGCUUUGCUCCU
rnacentral:RNase_P_RNA from 1 species